rnacentral:rRNA from 1 species
UAGGGAAUCUUCGGCAAUGGACGAAAGUCUGACCGAGCAACGCCGCGUGAGUGAAGAAGGGUUUCGGAUCGUAAAACUCUGUUGUUAGAGAAGAACAAGGACGUUAGUAACUGAACGUCCCCUGACGGUAUCUAACCAGAAAGCCACGGCUAACUACGUGCCAGCAGCCGCGGUAAUACGGAGGUGGCAAGCGUUGUCCGGAUUUAUUGGGCGUAAAGCGAGCGCAGGCGGUUUCUUAAGUCUGAUGUGAAAGCCCCCGGCUCAACCGGGGAGGGUCAUUGGAAACUGGGAGACUGGAGUGGAGAAGGGGAGAGUGGAUUUCCAUGUGUAGCGGUGAAAUGCGUAGAUAUAUGGAGAAACACGAGUGGCGAGGGCGGCUCUCUGGUCUGUAACUGACGCUGAGGCUGGAAGGCGUGGGGAGCAAACAGG